UACAGAGGGUGCUAGCGUUGUUCGGAAUUAUUGGGCGUAAAGAGCUCGUAGGCGGUUUGUUGCGUCGGCUGUGAAAUCCCGAGGCUCAACCUCGGGUCUGCAGUCGAUACGAGCAAACUAGAGUGUUGCAGGGGAGACUGGAAUUCCUGGUGUAGCGGUGAAAUGCGCAGAUAUCAGGAGGAACACCGGUGGCGAAGGCGGGUCUCUGGGCAACAACUGACGCUGAGGAGCGAAAGCGUGGGGAGCGAACAGG
rnacentral:rRNA from 1 species